GAUGAACGCUGGCGGCGUGCUUAAUACAUGCAAGUCGAACGGACAGGUCCUGAUCUUGCGGGGUGCACGUUAGCCGAACGGGUGUGAAACACGCGAGUAUCACGCCCUUGUAUUUGUGAUAACUUCUGGGAAAUCGGGCUCAUAUAGGAUAGGAGCUCCUGCAGCAUGGUGGUGGUUGGAAAGAUUCGGCGGUUGUGGCUGGUCUGGCAGCUUAUCAGCUUGAUGGUGUGGUAGGGGAUUACCAAGUCUUUGAAGGGUAGCCGGCCUGAGAGCGUGACCGGCCACAAUGGUACUGAGAGACGGCCCAGUAUGCUACGGGAGGCAGCAGGGGAGAAUAUGGCGCAAUGGGCGGAAGCCUGAUGCAGCGGCGCCGCGUGCGUGAUGACGGCCUUCGAGUGAUAAACCGCUUUCGACUGUGACGAAGCGGGAGUGACGGUAAUUGGUAAGGAAGCACCGGCUAACUACGUG
rnacentral:rRNA from 1 species